CUGUGAACUAAGGAAAUAAUGGUACCGUAUCUUAAUAUUUUGGAAAUAGAAACUUCUUGCUAAGGAUGCUCUGUCACCAUUCCCUGCCAUAAGGGGGGAAGGCUUGUGUAGGAAAUGCUGCCUUCUGGGACUGCAGAUUUUUCCAUGCCUUUUUAGCUGAAUGUAAAUGUGAAUGUUGGUUAUUAGGUAUAACAGUACAGAAAAUAAAAAUAUUUAGGUCUACAACCUUGUGUUCAACAAAGAUUGAAAAGGAUGUAGACUUGUUAAAAGUAGUGGGAUUUUAUGACAGGCCACAAUUAAACACUGUGUACUGAAUGUAGAAAAGCAUUUACUGUAUGCUAAAAACUCUCUGCUGUACCUGCUCUGAAUAUAUGUUGGGAGCUUUGUUUUGAAAGCUGUCAGCUUUUUAUUUUCAUAGGUAUUGCAUCCACUUUAUUAUUUUUACUACUGCAAUUGUUUUGUUAAUCCUCAGUGUUACACAAUUUAAAAUACACAAAUUAAUUAUUCUAAGCUGGGUGUAAUUUUUACAUAUUUAACUGCGAACGGGAUACUCUUAUCAAUAUUGUAGAUGCAUUACAGAGAUUUUGAGUGACUAAUCAAAUUUACAGCUUUAUGGCAUAGGUUCAUCAAUUGAGCAUAUAAGCAGGCUAUUAAUGUUAUCUUAUUUACUAAGCAUUUAUGUACAUACUAAGCUAAACAGAUUCAGUGACUGAGAUGCAAGUGUGUAAAAUUAGGGACUAUGCAUUCGUCUUGCAGGUGACACUGGUGAGCUGAUCUUUUCACCUGGGAUCCACCAUGAAAAGAUGUCUGAUGAUUAAGGAAGAGUUGGAUUUUCACUGCUCAAAAAGUUAAAAGAUGUAGUAAGAGCUACUAUCGUAAUAACAGCAAGUAUUAGAAUCUCUUGUACCUGCCCCACCUCUGUACCCAUUAUGAGAUAUAACAAAACCUGAGUCUGAGUCAUUAGUCUCCUGAGGAGCUGGAAUUUAAUCACCUGGAUGCUUAACAGUCUUAUGUGGGAUCAUCAAAUGGCUAAGGAUCUGACUUCAGCUGUUCAGAGAUAAACUUCAGGUGUGGAGAUAUUUGAUUAACUGGUUAGUCCUGAAAAGUGGAAGGAAGAAGGCUACACCGAGUUCGAAUGACUUUCAGUCUUUGUGUUGGGUUGUUUACAUCUUUACAAGGUGCUAAUUGUCUCUUACCUGUGUGUAGUUAAGGCAGAUGAUUGGCAUCUAUUUCAGUCUCUUGCAAGUGUGUCUGCAGACACAAGAUCUAAGCAAGCUGCAUAUAGUUAGGUCCUGGUUAGCACUUCUUUUCUUAAAUCACAUUAGUUUAAGACUGAGUAACUUCUCCUUGAAGACAGAACCUUUUAGCCUUAAAUAUGAAAUGGAAAUGUUGAAAGUUUAAAAAAAAACUGUAUUUUUGACUUUUCAAUGGAAAACUAAUUGAUAUUGAACCAAUGCAUGUGUUCUCACUAAUUUCUCUGAAAAGAAACUGCUGCAGGUUUAAUACUAGAUAAAUAAUAUAUACCUGCAAUAAACUCUAGUGGAUGCAAAGCACUCUGUAACUGUGUGCUGUCGAAUUGUUCACCCAUACCUAUUCAUGGUUAACAUGUCUAAUUCAUGAUAAAAUAUAGACGUACUCAACUGUGUGUGAUUAUGUCAUGUGGUUAGUAGGAGCCAUGUUGCCAUGAGCAGUGCUGCUCAGGAGGGCAGUAGAGCAAUAGCUGCUACUAUUGAAUCUAAUUUCUUCUAGAAUAAAGAGUGUUUUAAUCAGCAGUGAUAACUGGAUAGACACCAUGUUGUAAGUGGUGUACAAUGUUGAAAUGGAUAUGACAACUACGGCCAAAGUGGUGAUCAGUACUUACCCUUACUGAGGGUUUGGAAGAUUUUUUUGGAAAAGAGGGGGUUUACGCAAUGCAUAGGCUUACGAACUGUUUUAUAAUUAGAGAAGUUGGAAAUGCUGAAAUAAAUUUAGCACAUACCCUAUUUUUUUUCUGUUUUAGUUUCCCCAUUUAAUUUGAAGUUUUAAUCUGCUUCUUUAACACAAACACUGAACCACAUACUUGAGACAGACAAAGAUAAGGAUUAUGUAGGAGAGUAGGAGACAACAAUCAUUGCUUGUUAAUUAAUUUGUUGUCAGUAAAUGUCAUCUUCCAAAACAUGGUUUCUCAAAUUCCUCAGUUUUUAGAAGUGGAAUAGCUUUAUAUUUGUAUAAAGGUUAAAACUCUGAGAGCUAUUAUUCAUGCUGAAUAGGGGAUGUUGUAUUAGACAGAAUUUUGUUAAAUGCAGAAGUUUAAAUAAAGCUUGUUUACAGAGGUAAACACUUAGAGAAAACUAUUACUUUCUUAGAGUGCUGUACUGUUGUUUUUUUUUUUUGUAGUAAUACAGUUAAUGUAUUGCUAGUUCUAGUAUGAAAACGUGAACAUUGCUAAUAAAACAGUGUAAUUUCA